UAGCAGCAUAAAUGGUACGCUGCCACUUUAAGAUCAAUUUCAGCUGCUGCAUAUAAGCAGGUCUCUACCUGUUACAAGACUACUUGCGUCAUGACGUCAACUCAUUUUGCUUAGUUUGUUUGCUGAGCUGUGCUGGCCUCCCUUGCUGUGCCUCCAACUCCUGGACCGAUUUGUUCGGUUGUUUGUUUGCUGCCGGGAAGGUAAGCACUAGCAUGGCUAGGUAACAUCCGUCUCAUGUAAACGAAGCCUUUAUGUAGUGUUCUGUUACAGCUGCGCUCCAUAAGUGACCUUGUGGAUCUGUUUGUCUGGCCGUGUAGUAAUUUACAGGUAAGCAGCUACCAUAAGUCAUAGUUUUUAUCAGCAGUUGUAUUAAUAAUCUACUUUAUUUUUUAGCCUCCUGCUGAGUCCCUGACAACUAUUAAAUUUGGACGUACACUCGCUGCUGUUUUGCCUACGAUGAAUUGUUUUAAAAGAUUUGUAUGAACUUUCCCCCGCUGCCGGGAGUAUCGAUGGCACUACGAAC